rnacentral:rRNA from 1 species
UACGUAUGGAGCAAGCGUUAUCCGGAUUUAUUGGGUUUAAAGGGUGCGUAGGCGGAUUUGUAAGUCAGCGGUAAAAUUUCGGGGCUCAACCCCGUCGUGCCGUUGAAACUGGCUGUCUUGAGAUGUCGAGAGGUAUGCGGAAUGCGCAGUGUAGCGGUGAAAUGCUUAGAUAUUGCGCAGAACUCCGAUUGCGAAGGCAGCAUACCGGCGGCGAUCUGACGCUGAGGCACGAAAGCGUGGGUAUCAAACAGG